AGCAUGUGCACGCCUUGUCAUCUUUAUAUCUCCACCUGUGCACCUUUUGUAGGCCUUCCAGGUCUAUGUUGCUUUUUCAUUUACCCCAAUGUAUGUUAAUAGAAUGUUGUGCAUAUAAAAAUCUAUACAACUUUCAGCAACGGAUCUCUUGGCUCUCGCAUCGAUGAAGAACGCAGCGAAAUGCGAUAAGUAAUGUGAAUUGCAGAAUUCAGUGAAUCAUCGAAUCUUUGAACGCACCUUGCGCUCCUUGGUAUUCCGAGGAGCAUGCCUGUUUGAGUGUCAUUAAUAUAUAUCAAUCUUCUCAUUUAUGAGUGGUUUGGAUGUGGGGGUUUGCUGGCUUCUUAAAUGAGUUCAGCUCCUCUGAAAUGCAUUAGCAGAACAACCUUGUUCAUUGGCGUGAUAACUAUCUACGCUAUUGAAUGUGAGGGAUGGUUCAGCUUUCUAACAGUCCUUGGACAACUUAUCAUUUAUGUGACCUCAAAUCAGGUAGGACUACCCGCUGAACUUAAGCAUAUCAAUAA
rnacentral:rRNA from 1 species